GCGCUUGGCGAGGUCCUGGAUGACUGACUGACCACACUAGCGCAGCGCGCACAGGAGCAAAGGGGGGCAUCCUCUAUCGCGCGCGCGCCAUGGCCACCAGGCCGGGCCCUUUGACUGAAUGGCCAUGGCAAAGGCUUGGAAACUUCAAGGUGCGUAUAUGGCAAGCGUUCACGCAUGGUGUGCUUGCUACUCUCCUAUCCUCUUUCUUUCAUCUUCACCACGCCUUCUUCUUCCUUGGUUUCGUUUCGCCUGCGGGCGCGUGAGAUCUAUCCGAUGCGCGCGUCGGAGGCCAUGGCUGUGCUCCGGCGGUUUCGGUGCUGUAGGACUACCGUCACUCGUACUGUUUGCAUGCGUGUGAUGGUAAGCUUCAUCUAGGAGGUUACUGUCUGUGCGUGUACAGAGGGGCGUGAUGAGUAUAUUAAAACGAGAUUACUGUAGUAGCUCAUGCACAUGUAACUGCUUUCCGCAACGAGGUGGUGCCUUUUUUCCCCCCACUUCAGAUAUGGUAAUGACGGUGUUAUCAUUAGAGAAGUAUAAUAAGUGGCCGUAAUCAGGCUAAAUGUUGAUGUGGAGCGGAAAGAAGAGGAGGAAAAUGAGAAGUAAACUUAUAGCCAGCUUCAACGCAAAGGUCACUGCAGCAGCAGUGGGCUGAAUUAUUAAACUUGUUCUUAGAACGCUGUUCUGUAUGCUGUAUAGCUUUUGGCUUGCUUCCAUCGUAUGUAUGAAGUCAUCGAACACG
rnacentral:lncRNA from 7 species